UACGAAGGGGGCUAGCGUUGUUCGGAAUCACUGGGCGUAAAGGGCGCGUAGGCGGCUUUAUAAGUCGGGGGUGAAAUCCUGGGGCUCAACCUCAGAAUUGCCUCCGAUACUGGCAGUCUCGAGUGCGGGAGAGGUGAGUGGAAUUCCCAGUGUAGAGGUGAAAUGCGCAGAUAUCAGGAGGAACACCAAUUGCGAAGGCAGCUCGCUGGGACGUUACUGACGCUGAGACGCGAAAGCGUGGGGAGCAAACAGG
rnacentral:rRNA from 1 species